rnacentral:lncRNA from 1 species
UAGAUGGUGUGGUGCCAGUAAGAUGGUAUCGAUAUGAUCUAGUCUCAAUUAAGUUAGUCACAGGCGAGUGUUUUAAAAAGUUUUACCGUUUAUUUUUAGACUAAUUUUUUUAUGCGUUGUGCUUGAAGAAUGUUGUUUAUUACAUAUUAAAUUAAAAUAUUUAAUUUCAGACGAAAAAUAAAACCUGUAAACAAAUUAUCUCUAUAUUUACUUUGUUCAAGUGCCAGUGAAACGAAUGAUAGAAAAAAAAACAAGCAUUCAGUAUACUUGCAAUUUUUUUUUUAUAUAUUUUUAAAUGAUCUGAAUAAUUUUGUUGUUUUUAUUUAGUUGAAUGAUGAAAUUGUUUAUACAAAAGAUUGGCUCUUUAACUUUUAUGUUAAAUAUGUUAUUUCUUUGUUAACUGUUGUCUGUCAUUAACAAAGCAAUCAAAAAUAUACACAUAAUGACAACAGAUUUAUCUUAAGAACUGUUCGCAAAAUUUUUGGUUUGGAUACAAAAAACCAAGUGAAAAUGAUACUGGAAAAAAGACUGUUUACCGUUUGACUCCUUUCCCAGUCUAACCUAGUGGGUUCAAAAAAAAGAAACCGCGCUGGAAACAUUAGUGAAUUAAAAGGAUCAGCCCUUUUUGAAAUAAUAGUCGAAGUGGUAACCAGCCAGAAGUUGUUACCUGCUCGUAUGAAAGGAUUUCUCGACGUGAUAUUGUUAAUUUUAUUCAACAACGCCAAGAAACAGAGCUCGCUUAAGAAACAGAAAAGAA